GACGGACGCUGGCGGCGUGCUUAACACAUGCAAGUCGAGCGAUGAAGCACCUUCGGGUGUGGAUUAGCGGCGAACGGGUGAGGAACACGUGAAGAAUCUGCCUUCAACUCUGGGAUAACUCCGGGAAACCGGGGCUAAUACCGGAUAUGAGCCUUGGCCGCAUGGCCGGGGCUGGAAAGUUUUUCGGUUGAAGAUGACUUCGCGGCCUAUCAGCUUGUUGGGGAGGUAAUGGCUCACCAAGGCGACGACGGGUAGCCGGCCUGAGAGGGCGACCGGCCACACUGGGACUGAGACACGGCCCAGACGCCUACGGGAGGCAGCAGUGGGGAAUAUUGGGCAAUGGAGGAAACUCUGACCCAGCGACGCCGCGUGAGGGAUGAAGGCCUUCGGGUUGUAAACCUCUUUCAGUAGGGAAGAAGCGAAAGUGACGGUACCUACAGAAGAAGCACCGGCUAACUAUGUGCCAGCAGCCGCCGUAA
rnacentral:rRNA from 1 species